rnacentral:rRNA from 1 species
CAAUAGCGUAUAUUAACGUUGUUGCAGUUAAAAAGCUCGUAGUUGGAUUUCUGGAGGGAGCGUCGGCCCGUAUUUACGAGUGCGUGACGUCUCUGUCCAUCCUUGCGGGAAGGCACGGCAUUGAUUUGUUGUGUCGGAUCGCAUCAUUUACUGUGAAAAAAUUAGAGUGUUCAAAGCAGGCUUUCGCUUGAAUACAUUAGCAUGGAAUAAUGAGAUAGGACUUUGGUGCUAUUUUGUUGGUUGAGCCUAAAGUAAUGAUUAAUAGGGAUAGUUGGGGGCACCUGUAUUGCGUUGUCAGAGGUGAAAUUCUUGGAUUUACGCAAGACAAACAGCUGCGAAAGCGUCUGCCAAGGAUGUUUUCAUUAA